CGCACAGUAAACGAUGAAUACCAGCUGUUGGCGAUAGACAGUCAGCGGCGUAAGCGAAAGCGUUAAGUAUUCCACCUGGGGAGUACGCCGGCAACGGUGAAACUCAAAGGAAUUGACGGGGGCCCGCACAAGCGGAGGAACAUGUGGUUUAAUUCGAUGAUACGCGAGGAACCUUACCCGGGCUUGAAUUGCAGAGGAACAUAGUUGAAAGAUUAUGGCCGCAAGGUCUCUGUGAAGGUGC
rnacentral:rRNA from 1 species